UUGUCAGAUACUUCUAUAGAUGGCAUCCUUUGACAACUUGUGUUUAUCGCAAAAUUCGUCUUAAUACCUGGAAAAUGGUAAUUAUGAAAAAUGCUUAAAUAUCAUCAAUCAAAAUAUUUUAAAAGUUUAAUAUAUAUAAAUAUGCAUAAUAAAAGUGAUGGUUUCUCAUUUGGUUUUGCUACUGCCAGUGGUAAUUCAAUCCAUGUGUCUGAGAGAGCUUUAUCAAAAGCAAGAGAAUUUUUUAAUAAUGAGUUUAAAGAAAAUGACAAUUCUGGACAAAAAUUCAAAGCUGAAAAUGAAAUUAAUACAUUUAAUGCGCAAAUACCAGAUGUUGGAUUUCAAACUGCAAGUGGUAAAUGCAUUAAUGUGACCAAUGAAGCACUAUCAAAAGCAAGAGAACUUUUUAAUAAUGAGCUUAAAGAAAGUGACAACUCUGAACAAAAAUUCAAAGCUGAAAAUGAAAUUAAUACAUUUAAUGCGCAAAUACCAGAUGUUGGAUUUCAAACUGCAAGUGGUAAAUGCAUUAAUGUGACCAAUGAAGCACUAUCAAAAGCAAGAGAACUUUUUAAUAAUGAGCUUAAAGAAAGUGACAACUCUGAACAAAAAUUCAAAGCUGAAAAUGAAAUUAAUACAUUUAAUGCGCAAAUACCAGAUGUUGGAUUUCAAACUGCAAGUGGUCAACGCAUUAAUGUGACCAGUGAAGCACUAUCAAAAGCAAAAGAACUUUUUAAUAAUGAGUUUAAAGAAAAUGACAAUUCUGGACAAAAAUUCAAAGCUGAAAAUGAAAUUAAUACAUUUAAUGCACGAAUACCAGAUGUUGGAUUUCAAACUGCAAGUGGUCAACGCAUUAAUGUGACCAAUGAAGCACUAUCAAAAGCAAGAGAACUUUUUAAUAAUGAGCUUAAAGAAAGUGACAACUCUGAACAAAAAUUCAAAGCUGAAAAUGAAAUUAAUACAUUUAAUGCACGAAUACCAGAUGUUGGAUUUCAAACUGCAAGUGGUCAACGCAUUAAUGUGACCAGUGAAGCACUAUCAAAAGCAAAAGAACUUUUUAAUAAUGAGCUUAAAGAAAGUGACAACUCUGAACAAAAAUUCAAAGCUGAAAAUGGAAUUAAUACAUUUAAUGCGCAAAUACCAGAUGUUGGAUUUCAAACUGCAAGUGGUCAACGCAUUAAUGUGACCAGUGAAGCACUAUCAAAAGCAAAAGCAAUGUUUCAAGAAGAAAUCUCCAAAGAUUUUGAAACUAUUCUUGCAUUACCUAAACCAUUGCAGAAGCGAAAAAUUAAAGAUGUAGAUGACAGUGUAUCUUUGAUCAACAAAGCAAAAUCUAGUCAGUUUAAAAAGUUACGAUUUAGUAAUGAGUUUCAAGUCUUAAAAUCUACUCAUAGAAACUCAUUGAAUAAUGAAGAAAAAGGAAAUCAAAACACAUCUUCAGUAUCUAUGCAAGUAACUUUAAAUUGUGAUGUUGAACUUAAAUUAAAAGAUAAUAUUAUGAUUAAUAUUACUGAAACAAGCAAGAAAAGUGAUGAAAUAAUAGAUAACUAUGUAAUUUCACAUGAAAUAGCUAGUGCAGUUGCACUUUUAGCUGAUGAAAAGGAUUUAGAUUUCACGGAGCAACAAAUAUCUCCUAAGGAAAUUAAAGAAAAUGAUGAAACUGUAAGUGUUCCAUCUAGCCCAGUAAUAGGAGGACAAUUUAUUCGUAAAAAGCGAAGGAGUACAGGUAGAAGAGAAACUACAAAUACCUCAAAAAAUAAAGUAGAUAAGUUGGCAUGUUUAUGUAAUAAAGCAGAUAAAUUUAUAGAUAAUGUAGAAAAGUUAAAUGAUGAUUAUGCAAGUCUGAACCAAUAUAUAAAUAAAAAAGAUAAUUGUUUAACAGAGAAGCAAGAUUUAACAGAUAAACAGGAUCAGUAUGACUCUGCAGUCGUUAAUGAUUUUGGUGACUCUCAAUUAAUGAUAGACUUUAUAAAUCAAUCUGUAACUGUAUUAGAGAAACGUUUAGAAGCUGCUUUAGAACAAGAAAAACAAAUUAGUAUGAAGCAAAAAAGUAAGCCUAAACCAACAAUCAGUAAAUUAUAUUUUCACAGAAAGAGUAAUACCAAUAAUCGUAUAUCAUGGAAAGAAAUUAGUAAGGGAGAAAAACCUAUUCUAUGUACAGAUGAAGAGCUUGUUAACAGAAAAUUACCACCUGAAAUUUUGGAUCUAAGAGCUGAUAAUGCGACAAUGUAUAAAUUUCAUUGUGCAGAUUUUUAUGGGCAAAAUAUUGUGCAAAAUAAUAUUGAUGGUAUAAAAUUGGAAGAUGGAGCUUGUUUAAUUUUGGAUGAAAAUGGUUAUGUAGGAAUAACAGAAAUUAAAAGAUCUUUUUUAGCAAGUCCAGGUGUAGAUCCUAACUUACUUCCCAUUGGUUGGGUAGAAAAUCAUUACAAAUGGAUUGUAUGGAAAUUAGCAUCAAUGGAUAGAAUAAAACUAGGUUAUAUCAUUCUACCAAGAGCUCUAACUCCUGCCAGGGUAAUGAUGGAAUUGAAAUAUCGUUAUGACAGGGAAAUUGAUAGAUCUCAAAGAUCGGCUUUAAGAAAAAUAUUAGAGAAAGAUGAUGUUGCAACCAAGAGAAUGGUUUUAUGUGUAUCUUCUAUUAAUAAAUGUGAUGAUUCUGAUAUCGAAAACAAAAAUCAAUUAAAAUUAUCAUCCCAAAAAUUGAUAUUAACAGAUGGAUGGUAUAGUAUUCAAGCUUCAAUUGAUCAGGCAAUGAUGAAACAUAUAAUAUCUGGCAAAAUAAAAGAGGGAACAAAAUUAUUAACAUAUGGAUCUGAAUUAUUAAAUUGUGAUCAAGGAUGCUCACCUUUGGAAAUUGCAGAGAAUGUAUGUUUAAAAUUACAUACAAAUUCAACAAGAAGAGCAAGAUGGGAUAUGAAGUUAGGGUAUACAGUACCAUCGGGACCAAUGUGCACUAAAUUAAAGACCAUUUAUCCAAAUGGUGGCUUAAUUGGGAAAAUUAAAGUUAUAGUUGCGAGGGUAUAUCCAAUGUUAUAUCAUGAGAAAACUUCAACAGGAGAAUCUAUUUUUCGAAAUGCUAGAUGCGAAGAAAAAGCUAGCAUUAUCUAUGAAAAGGAAUGUCGGUCAAUGAUAGAAGCAUUUUAUGCUAAAGCAGAGAAAUAUUUUCAUACUGGAAAAUGCAAAAGUAAUUUAAAUACAGACAGUAUCGAUUUAGCAGCAGUUGAAUGGAAUGAAGAUUGCGACAGAUUAUUUAAAGAGGAAUUUCGUUCGGAACAAGAGCUAAAGCAAUUAAAGAAUGAUUGUCUCAUGAAACAGGAGAAAUUUAGACAAAAAUUAGAGUCUCGAUUACAAGAAAACUUACCUCUACCGCGACAGGUUACACCUCUUUUAAAAAUUCGCGUAAUUGAGGAAGAAACAAAUGCUAUUCUUUCAGUUUGGUCUCCCAGCGAAGAAGUUAUAGAUAUUUUAAAAGAAGGAAAUUGUAUAUCACUUUGUAAUGUUAUGCCCUGGGCAAAAAGAGGUAAUGAGUUGCUAUUAACUGCAAAUCGAAAUACAUCAUUUAUCCAAGUAAACAUUUCUGAUAAUAGUUUUCGUCUGAGAACAUAUACAGCAUUAUGUGAAAUAAGUAAGCCAACCUUCACUCCAGCUUAUGGAGAAUUUGAUACAGUAGGAAUUAUUGCUUCUAUUGGAAACGAACCCUAUGGUAUGAAAAAUUUUCAAGCUGUGUAUUUAGCAUAUCCACAUGCAGAUUCUGUGUCUUCAUAUUUAUCAAUACUCUUUUGGCAUGGGAUAUCUUCUUUUGGGUAUGCAGAAAUUUUGACUGUAGGAUCUCUUGUUGCCUGUGGCAAUUUAGAAUGGCGUCGAGCUACAUCAUGGAAUAUACCAGUGGCAUAUUGCACAGAACGAAGUAUUUUUACGCAUAAUCCUCGAGACAGUCACCUUCAGGAACCUUUAGAAAAUUUAAAACGUUUGAUAACGGAUAUUAGUACGUAUAUAGAUACCUGUGUGGUAGAAAUUUCGGAGAAAGUACAAAAGAAAUCAAUGAUGAGAAAUAAUUUCAACAGAGAUGUAUCAAAUGAAAAUAUUAAUGCUAACAAGCAAUUUAAUGAUCAUGUAUAUCAGGAAUUCCAAGGAAGGAGUUUAAUAAAUAAUCAACUAGCAAAAUCUGUUGCCAUACAAAAACGGCUUGAAAAAUUACAAUCUUAUGGUGAGCCAUCUAGUCUAUCCCCAAUUACACUUAAUAACAGCUCCAAGCGAGUAUCAUUGGAGUUUCAAUCUCCCAUACAAUCAAGAAGUGGAAAAUGUACAAAAGUUCACACAGCAUUACAUGCAAGACUUACACAAAACCCUACAUGACAGUGCAUAUUUUACAAGUUCUUUUAUCUAAAACACAAAGGAAGGGGAUCCUAAACAAAGAAGAAAGGGCAGGAACCGAAGAUCAAAAACAGAAAAAACCUGUAUUUAUAACAUUUUGGAGACAGCUUCGCAAUCAGCGAUGAGCAUGGCAGAACACGAGGCUUUUAUGACCUUGGCUACCUGUACGUUCAGGUGAGAAGCACAUGGGUCUUGUAAUAAUCCUCGCAAUGGAACGGCUACACACAUUAUAACUUGCAUCAUUUACGAUUUUACGUUAUACUGUACUACUUAUAUGUAACAUACAUUAUUGUUUAUAUACUAAUAUAUUAUUAUUUAUAUUUAGAUUUAUUAUUUAUAUAUAACAGUUUACAAAAGUUCAUAGAUGCACCGUGUUACAAUAGUUUAUAAGCAAGAUAUAUAUAUCAUAAGCUGUAGAAAGUCUAUAAUCUGAAGGAAAACAAUAAACAUACACAUAUAAGCGAUAUAUCUUAUACAUGAUUAUAUAAGUUAAUUUAAGUUUCACCCUCGGUCCAUACGGGAUAUUUCUAACUAAAUACAUUCGUCGGAGCAAACUUCACGCAGUUAUGUCAAAAGCGAGUUCAUGCAAUAGCGUAAUAUUACAAAUUAGUUUUAUUUUCGAUUUUAUACAUUAGAAUAUUAUUAUACAUUUUACAGUAAUUACUUAUGUAAUCCUAAACACGAUAUCAACACGAUACAAUGUCUUUCAUACUAAAUUUAUAGAAAAAUGUAUCAUUUCAUUUAUUGACCAAUAGUGAAUAUGCUAUUUAGAACUAGAAUAUAUGUUAUACGGAAGUAAAUAAGAUAUACCUAAACUGUGCGACGAAUCAUAAAUUUUAAUCCAUCAGAUGUUACCUCAUGG